rnacentral:rRNA from 1 species
AUGAACCCUUUCUACGGGCUUAACACAUGCAAGUCGAGGGGCAGCAUGGUCUUAGCUUGCUAAGGCCGAUGGCGACCGGCGCACGGGUGAGUAACGCGUAUCCAACCUGCCUUACACUCUUGGACAGCCUUCUGAAAGGGAGAUUAAUACAAGAUGUUAUCAUGAGUAAGCAUUUUCGCAUGAUUAAAGGUUUACCGGUGUAAGAUGGGGAUGCGUUCCAUUAGAUAGUAGGCGGGGUAACGGCCCACCUAGUCUUCGAUGGAUAGGGGUUCUGAGAGGAAGGUCCCCCACAUUGGAACUGAGACACGGUCCAAACUCCUACGGGAGGCAGCAGUGAGGAAUAUUGGUCAAUGGACGAGAGUCUGAACCAGCCAAGUAGCGUGAAGGAUGAAGGUUCUAUGGAUUGUAAACUUCUUUUAUACGGGAAUAAACGAAUCCACGUGUGGAUUUUUGCAUGUACCGUAUGAAUAAGGAUCGGCUAACUCCGUGCCAGCAGCCGCGGUAAUACGGAGGAUCCGAGCGUUAUCCGGAUUUAUUGGGUUUAAAGGGAGCGUAGAUGGGUUGUUAAGUCAGUUGUGAAAGUUUGCGGCUCAACCGUAAAAUUGCAAUUGAUACUGGCAGUCUUGAGUACAGUUGAGGUAGGCGGAAUUCGUGGUGUAGCGGUGAAAUGCUUAGAUAUCACGAAGAACUCCGAUUGCGAAGGCAGCUUACUAACCUGUAACUGACAUUGAUGCUCGAAAGUGUGGGUAUCAAACAGGAUUAGAUACCCUGGUAGUCCACACGGUAAACGAUGAAUACUCGCUGUAGGCGAUAUACAGUCUGCGGCCAAGCGAAAGCAUUAAGUAUUCCACCUGGGGAGUACGCCGGCAACGGUGAAACUCAAAGGAAUUGACGGGGGCCCGCACAAGCGGAGGAACAUGUGGUUUAAUUCGAUGAUACGCGAGGAGCCUUACCCGGGCUUAAAUUGCAACCGAAUAUGGCGGAAACGCUAUAGCUAGCAAUAGCGGUUGUGAAGGUGCUGCAUGGUUGUCGUCAGCUCGUGCCGUGAGGUGUCGGCUUAAGUGCCAUAACGAGCGCAACCCUUGCCGAUAGUUACUAACAGGUCAUGCUGAGGACUCUGUCGGGACUGCCAUCGUAAGAUGUGAGGAAGGUGGGGAUGACGUCAAAUCAGCACGGCCCUUACGUCCGGGGCUACACACGUGUUACAAUGGGGGGUACAGAGGGCUGCUACCACGCAAGUGGAUGCCAAUCCCAAAAACCUCUCUCAGUUCGGAUUGAAGUCUGCAACCCGACUUCAUGAAGCUGGAUUCGCUAGUAAUCGCGCAUCAGCCACGGCGCGGUGAAUACGUUCCCGGGCCUUGUACACACCGCCCGUCAAGCCAUGGGAGCCGGGGGUACCUGAAGUGCGUAACCGCAAGGAGCGCCCUAGGGUAAAACUGGUGACUGGGGCUAAGA